GACGAACGCUGGCGGCGUGCUUAACACAUGCAAGUCGAACGGAAAGGCCCUGCUUGCAGGGUACUCGAGUGGCGAACGGGUGAGUAACACGUGGGUGAUCUGCCCUGCACUUCGGGAUAAGCCUGGGAAACUGGGUCUAAUACCGGAUAGGAGCCAUUCUUAGUGUGAUGGUUGGAAAGUUUUUUCGGUGUAGGAUGAGCUCGCGGCCUAUCAGCUUGUUGGUGGGGUAAUGGCCUACCAAGGCGGCGACGGGUAGCCGGCCUGAGAGGGUGGACGGCCACAUUGGGACUGAGAUACGGCCCAGACUCCUACGGGAGGCAGCAGUGGGGAAUAUUGCACAAGGGGCGCAAGCCUGAUGCAGCGACGCCGCGUGGGGGAUGACGGCCUUCGGGUUGUAAACUCCUUUCGCUAGGGACGAAGCUUUUUGUGACGGUACCUAGAGAAGAAGCACCGGCUAACUACGUG
rnacentral:rRNA from 1 species